rnacentral:rRNA from 1 species
GAUGAACGCUGGCGGCGUGCCUAAUACAUGCAAGUCGAGCGAACAGAUGAGGAGCUUGCUCCUCUGACGUUAGCGGCGGACGGGUGAGUAACACGUGGAUAACCUACCUAUAAGACUGGGAUAACUUCGGGAAACCGGAGCUAAUACCGGAUAAUAUAUUGAACCGCAUGGUUCAAUAGUGAAAGACGGUUUUGCUGUCACUUAUAGAUGGAUCCGCGCCGCAUUAGCUAGUUGGUAAGGUAACGGCUUACCAAGGCAACGAUGCGUAGCCGACCUGAGAGGGUGAUCGGCCCCACUGGACCUGAGACACGGUCCAGCCUCCUACGGGAGGCAGCAGUAGGGAAUCUUCCGCAAUGGGCGAAAGCCUGACGGAGCAACGCCGCGUGAGUGAUGAAGGUCUUCGGAUCGUAAAACUCUGUUAUUAGGGAAGAACAAAUGUGUAAGUAACUAUGCACGUCUUGACGGUACCUAAUCAGAAAGCCACGGCUAACUACGUG